GGGAUCCAAUUCAGGAUAAGCUCACACUAACCCGUCAAUUUGGAAUGUAUAAUAUCGAUUCAUACAGAUAGAGAAGAAAAGGUCUCUAUUGAUUCAACGCUGUAGGGGUAGCGAAAGAGGAAAAACCGAGAUUCACAUAGUACUUUGAUCGAAAAUCAUCUGAUUUAUUCGUACCCUCGCUCAUGAGAAGUGGGUCAGAUUCUACAGGAUCAAACUAUGGGACUUAAGGAUGACGGAAGGGAAUAAAAAAAGAAAGAGAGGGAAAAAUAAUAAAUAAAAUAAUAAAAUAAAUAAAUAAUAAAUAAAGAAGAGCCCAGAUCCAAAUGAACAAAUUCAACUUGAAAAAAUCUUUCUGAUUCUCGAAGAAUGAGGGGCAAAGGGAUGAUCGAAAAAGAUCUCUGUUCUUAUUCUUAUUAUAAGAUCGUGAUUGGAUCCGCAUAUGUUGGUAAAAAGAAGAAUCUUCUCCUUUGAGAAUAUCAAAAAAGGAAGUGUUCAUUUGGAACAUGAAAACGUGACUGAAUUUGUCCUAGUUACUCUUCGGGACUGAGUGGAUGAAGGGAGGAGCUCUCGACCGAGAAAAGGGUCCAAUGACUCGAAAGAAUUGAACGAGGAGCCGUAUGAGGUGAAAUCUCAUGUACGGUUCUGUAGAGUGGCAGUAAGGGUGACUUAUCUGUCAACUUUUCACUAUCACCCCCAAAAACCAAACUCUGCCUUACGUAAAGUUGCCAGAGUACGAUUACCUCUGGAUUGAAAUCACUGCUUAUAUACCUGGUAUUGGCAUAAUUCACAAGAACAUUCUGUAGUCUUAGUAGAGGGGGAGGGUUAGGAUUUACCCGGUGUGAGAUAUCACAUUGUUCGAGGAACCUAGAUGCUGUCGGAGUAAAGGAUCGUCAACAGGGCGUUCUAGUGCGUGUAGAUCUUAUCCAAGACUUGUAUCAUUUGAUGAUGCCAUGUGAAUGCUAGAAACAUGUAAAGUGUAUGGCUACCCAUACGAAAGUUUCGUAAGGGGACUGAAGCAGGCUACCAUGAGACAAAAGAUCUCUUUUAAAGAGAUUCGAUUCGGAACUAUUCUAUGUCCAGGUCCAAUAUUGGAAUAAUUUCAGAGGUUUCCUUGACUUUAUCCGUGUCACAAACAAUUCGAAAUGCCUCGACUUUUUUAGAGCAGUCGAGUCAAAUAGCAUGAUCGAAGCACUUCUUUUUACCUAUUUCGGAAACCCAAGGACUCAAUCGUAUGGAUAUGGAAAAUACAGGAUUCCAAUCCUAGCAGGAAAAGGAGGGAAACGGAUACUCAAUUUAAAGUGAGUAAACAGAAUUCCAUACUCAUCUCAUAGAUACAUAUAGAAUUCUGUGGAAGCCGUAUUCGAUGAAAGUCGUAUGUACGCUUGGAGGGAGUCUUUCAUAUCUUUCGAGAUCCACCCUACAAUAUGGGGUCAAAAGCCAAAUAAAUGAUUUUAUUAGCCCUUAUAAAAGAAAACUGAUCUGAGAAUCCCUUGCACGCUCAUGUCACGUCGAGUACUGCAGAAGAAAAACUGCAAAAUCCGAUCCAAUUUAUCGUAAUCGAUUAGUUAACAUGUUGGUUAACCGUAUUCUGAAACACGGAAAAAAUCAUUGGCUUAUCAAUUCUCUAUCGAGCCAUGAAAAAGAUCAACAAAAGACAGAAACAAAUCCACUAUCUGUUUACAUCAGCAUACGUGGAGUACUCCCGAUAUAGCAGUAAAAGCAAGACGGUAGGCGGAUCGACUCAUCAAGUUCCCAUGAAAUAGGAUCCACACAAGGAAAAGCACUUGCCAUUCGUUGGUUAUUAGGAGCAUCCCGAAACGUCCGGGUCGAAAUAUGGUUUUCAAUUAAGUUCCGAAUGGUGGAUGCUGCCAAAGGGAGUGGCGAUGCCAUACGCAAAAGGAAGAGACUCAUAGAAUGGCAGAGCAAAUAGAGCUUUGCACAUUUCGUUAUCCAUGAACAGGAUCUAUAUCUAUAUCUAUAUAGACACAUAGACUCAUGAGCCAUACAUCUCGAUCGGAAAAGAAUCAAUAGAAAAAGAAAGAAUCGGAAUGAUCGCUAUAUUUCUCGAAACAAACGAAAAGGAACGAAAGAUGAAACAUAAAUCAUGGAUCAAUAAGCCCUCUCGGAGACUUGCUAAGAAUAAGAAGAGGUAAAUACCAUGGAUAAGGUUUGAUCCUAUUUAUGGGGAUUCCGUAAAUAUUCCAUCCAAAAAAAAAAGAGAAAGUCGAAACAAUUGGGAUUUUUUUGGAGAUUGGAUGCAGUUACUAAUUCAUGAUCUGGCAUGUACAGAAUGAAACUUCAUUCUCGAUUCUACGAGAAUUUUAUGAAAGCCUUUCAUUUGCUUCUCUUCGAUGAAGUUUAUUUUCCCAGAAUGUAUCCUAAUUUUGGCCUAUUCUUCUUCUGAUGAUCGAUUCACCUCUGAUCAAAAAGAUAUGCCUUGGUUAUAUUUCAUCUCUUCACAAGUUUAGUAAUGAGUAUAACGGCCCUAUGUCCCGAUGGAGAGAAGAACUAUGAUUAGCUUUUCGGGAAAUUUCAAACGACAAUUUCAACGAAAUCUUCAAUUUCUUAUUUUACUAUGUCAACUCUAUGUAUCCUCUAUCCGUAGAGUACAUGAAUGUACAGAAAUGGCUAUAACAGAGUUCUCUUAUUCGUAUUAACAGCUACUCUAGGAGGAAUGUUUUAUGCGGUGCUACGAUUUAAUAACUAUCUUUGUAGCUCCAGAAUGUUCAGUUUAUGCUCAUACCUAUUAUCUGGAUAUACCAAGAAAGAUGUACGGUCUAAUGAGGCUACUACGAAAUAUUACUCAUGGGUGGGGCAGCUCUUCUAUUCUGGUUCAUGGUUUCUCUUGGCUAUAUGUUCGUCCGGGGGAGAGAUCGAGCUUCAGAAAUAGUGAAUGGUCUUAUCAAUACACAAAUGUAUACUCCCCAGGAAUUUCAUUGCGCUUAUAUUCAUCACUGUAGGAUUGGGUUCAAGCUUUCCCCAGCCCCUUCUCAUCAUGGACUCCUGACGUAUACGAAGGAGUGCGGUUCGUUCGAAAAAUCCUACCUCUCUAUCUAUCUCUGAGAUGCUGGAUCCAUGGACAUUCCAUGGACAUGCAUCCCCACUCGGACCAAGACAUAACUUUACUUGUUCAAUAACAAUUAAGGUGAAGCAGGGUCAGGAACAACAAAUCUCUUAUGAUAAACAGAUUCAUUUGCAAGUUCGUUAUUACGGGUAGCUCCUACAAAGAUCGGACUAAUGACGUAUACAAUACUUAAUUCUCGAUGUAGAUGCUACAUAGUUGGUUCUCAUCCUUCGAGACUACAGUGUAAUAGGAGCAUCCGUCGACAAAAGAUCACCCUAAGAUGAUCAUCUCAUGGCUAUGAGAACGAAUCAAUCAGAUGGUUCUAUUUCUCAUCUUUCUGACUUGCUCCUACGGAACCAAGAGGUCGAAAAGAUGAGAAAAUCGGUCAUUCACAACCACUGAUGAAGGAUUCUCGAAAAGUUAAGGAUUAGUAUCCUUUUUAGAAUCGAAUGGAUCGGUCUUAUACAUACGCGAGGAAGGUAAUCAAAAAGAUGAGUUCUUCUUCUUCUUUUAUCACUUAGGAGCCGUGCGAGAUAAAGUCUCAUGCACGGUUUUGAUGAGAGAAGAAGUGAGGAAUCCUCUUUUCGACUCUGACUCUCCCACUCAGUCGUGCUUUCUUCUGUUACUUCGAAAGUAGCUGCUUCAGCUUCAGCCACUCGAAUUUUCGAUAUUCCUUUUAUUUCUCAUCAAACGAAUGGCAUCUUCUUCUGGAAUCCUAGCUAUUCUGAGCAUGAUAGUGGGGAAUCUCAUUGCUAUACUCAAACAAGCAUGAAACGUAUGCUUGCAUAUUCGUCCAUAGGUCAAAUUGGAUAUGUAAUAUUGGAUAAUUGUUGGAGACUCAAAUGGUGGAUAUGCAGCAUGAUAACUUAUAUGCUCUUCUAUAUCUCCAUGAAUCUAGGAACUUUGCUGCAUUGUAUUAUUGGUCUACGCACCGGAACUGAUACAUUCGAGAUUAUGCAGGAUUAUACACGAAAGAUCUUUUUUGGCUCUCUCUUUAGCCCUAUGUCUCUUAUCCCUAGGAGUCUUCCUCCACUAGCAGGUUUUUCGGAAAACUCCAUUAUUCUGGUGUGGAUGGCAGCAGGCCUAUAUUUCUUGGUUUCAUAGGACUCCUUACGAGCGUCUUCUAUCUACUAUAUCUAAAAUAAUCAAGUUAUUAAUGACUGGACAAAACCAAGAAAUAACCCUCACGUGCGAAAUUAUAGAGGAUCCCCUUAAGAUCAAACAAUUCCAUCGAAUUGAGUAUGAUUGUAUGUGUGAUAGCAUCUACUAUACCGGGAAUAUCAAUGAGCCCGAUUAUGAAAUGCUCAAGAUACCCUUUUUAGCUUCUAGAAUCUAUUUCUUAGUUCAAGAUCCCUCUUACUAACUGGAAUCAAAGAAUUGUAGAUCUGUCCGCCCAAAAUGGAAUGGGCUAGGGUUAUGAACUUAUAAUCUAUAAUCGAGUCGAUUCCAUGAUUAUAAGUUCAUUUCAUACCGGACCAGACCGGAAUAGGCUUAUAUACAUCUCAUUAUGAGAAAAGGUCAUUCGAGCGUAUCUAAAUAAAGACUAUGUUACAUAUGGAUCCCCCCGUCGCUACAUUCCAUUUAGAUUAGGAUAGGCGUAAUCGGACCUGUUUUUUACAUAUAUAUCUCUCCUUAUUUGGACCCUAUUCCUAUUCUAUUCCCCCUUUUGGCUUCUAUUGAUCGAGAAAUAGGUUUGAUUGUCCAUUUUUUUGAUAUAAUAUAGAUAAGGCAUCUUCCGGAUAUUCAAUCGAAGCAAUUGGAUGUCUGACUCGGGCCUAUAUGACAUGACCGAUCAAUAGAAAUACUCCAACACUCCACCUUGUCAUAUAUUCCAUACAUCACACUAGAUAGCCUUGGUGGUGAAAUGGUAGACACGCUUUCAGAUGCCUUGGUGGUGAAAUCGUGGAGGUUCGAGUCCUCUUCAAGGCAUAAUAUUGAGAAUGCUCAUUGAAUGCUCAUGAAUGAGUCUCGGAUCGAAUCGGUUAUCGAAUCGGGAUCGAAUCGUGGUGAUCUUCUCUAUCUAAUUGAAUAAGUUCGGCCGCGGAUCAUUGGUGAUCUAAUGAUAAUGAUGGGGAGUCUGCUUUGAAUCGUCCGCCCUGGAACACCCCCGAGUCUAUGUCUUCAACAGGAAUACACAAAGGUAGAUUGAUACAAUAGAAACCUCUGGAAAUGCCCGCCCGAACCCAACAGAUAAAGUACAGUACAUAGUCCGUUUUAGGGAUUGGCGACUACCCAUUCAGUGACUUUGGCACUGGAUGUUAUGUUCCCAAAAUAAAAUGGGUACUAUCGGGUCGGGUGAAUCAAUAAUAGGCGUCUGUUGGCAUCCAGCCUUCCUUCUCUUUCUCCUUUCAGAGCCUAUCCGAAAGAGAUCCAGUACUUCUUGGUCGUGAAUAUCUGAAUAGGACGAACCGCCCGUGGAUAUCUUUGCUUCGGAACAAAAGAUUAGAAUUAGGCCCGGUCAACUGGAAUGUGUAUAUAUCCAUAUAGGGGAUCUUCCAUUGAGAAGAUCCAUCGACCUGAGACGAAGAGAAGGUCUAUCUAUUUUAUUUAGUUAUUCAUUUAGUUAUUCAGUAAACCAACGAUUCGUUAUGGAGCAGAUAGCAACAACCACCAUUUCAUCCGACAUACGUAUUUUGAUUUUUCCAAUGGAUUACAUCUUUCAUUAAUGGAAAGUAGUGAGGAAUCGCUCUGGUUGCUUGCUCGCUGUCAAGAAUCUGUUUAGGCAGUCAUACCAUCCAUACAUAGUGUUUGAUCUAAGAUUUCAUUCUUCCAUGUUUCAGCAGUAACAUAUUGUUCCGUGUCCAAAUAUGAAGAAGGAGGUGUUCCACGACUCUACCACCCAGUCAAUUCUGUUCCACUUAAUCCCUAUUUCUGGCCACAUAUCUUUCAGGCUAAGGACAUGAAUCCAAUUUUCAUUUCAUCAAUCCAAUUUUCAUUCAUCCGAAAAGCCAUCUUUUUCUCAACAAUAGCCUUCCGUUAGAUACAGAUUUGAUUGAUAAAUACUGAUAACUACUGAUAACUCUCGGAUAGGAAAAAUCCAUUAGAUAAUGACUCAUCUCUGGCGAUGAAUCAACAAUUCAACAAUUCGAAGCGUAUUCUUAAAACCAGCGUUUAUAUAUAGAUGUAGGAGGAUCUGUUGGAAGUAAGAAGCCCUUUGACAUCUCUUCAUCUGCAAGAAUUCUCGAUGUGAAACACAGAGACAAGGGGCUGUCUUGAAUAGGAAAAGAGUGGAUCCGCAGGGUCCAAAUGAAUUGGCUUAUUCGAAAAACGCCUUUUCUUGGAAGAUCUAUCUCGUAUCUGGUACUGCAUGGUCCACUCUGCAAGAACUCCGAAUCAUCUCUUGAAGCUAUCCUCUUCAUCAUAAAUGAUCCGCUUACCCGAAAUGACCUGGCCCAAUAGGGAAUCCCAAUGAAUUGGGCCUUCGAUACAUCAAAUAGAAAGCCCAAGGGCUCCAUAUUCUAGGAGCCCAAACUAUGUGAUUGAAUAAUCCUCCUCUAUCUGUUGCGGGUCGAGGAUUCCUUCUACUUCCCUUCUUCAACUCCGAUUCAUAUUUUUCAUAGAGAAUCUCUGAUCAAGGAUAGAACAAGAUCCAUUUUGCAUCAUAUCUAAGGGACUCCUUGGUUCGGCCGAAGAAGCAAUGUCACUCGAUCAUAUCAAACUGACUGCAUCUUUUUCUGUCCGUGAGGAUCCCACCAGAGCGCCUUCUACUUCUAAUAGGCCAUGAACUAGAUCAGAAUCAUCUCAACAAGUCCAUAAUAAGUGAUCCCAUUUUUUCAUCGGUCCGGGUAGAGACCAAAGGUCUUGAGCAAUCGAUCCGGCAGAACAACUCAAAAGAUAAAGAAGUAUCGUAAUUUCUUCAUGCUCGUUCCAAGUUCGAAGUACCAUUGACAAAUAAGAUCCCCUUCGUUACAUGAUUUCUUCUUCAUUAGAUAGAUAUAGGAUCUAUGGGGCAAUUACUUAGAAAUACAUUUUGUGCACAGCCCUUCCUAUCUGAUAGAAAAGGAUCCCAUGAUCCUGAACCGAUCUUACCUGGGAUCGCAAAUCCCAAGUUUGUCUAUGAAGAGCAGAUCUAAUUAUAUUAGUGUCUAUAAUUGAUUCUUCUGUGUAAUACUAAUCGAUAGGGCCUCAUUGGUAAGUGCUACAAGAUCUCGUACAUUGGAACCCAUGGUACGGACCCGAAUCUCUUAGUAUGGAACAUUUCUUUCCAAGUGAAUCCCCUACUAUAUGAAAGAGUGAAACGUGCUUUCGUUGUUGUGGAAUAAGAAGCCUUCGUAUCUUAAUGCAUGUAUUAAUUUAUUCGGAGCUAUUAGAGCGGGAUCCACUUUUUGGGGAUAUGAGUCGAAGCAAUAACAGAAUAUUUCUAGUGGACAUCUUUCACAAUCCCUGGAGAGAUAGUUCACUAAUAGACCGAGGGAUAAGUAUUCGACUCAUUCACAUCCAGAUCGUGAAUGUUGGAAUCCAUAUUAUGCAGGAGACAUUGCUUUUGCUAAUUCGAUUGAGGGUGAUAUAAAAUCGGUCUAUUUCCGGCAUCAUAUCCAUAGUUAGUACAUCAUCCUAGUUAGAAGCUCCAGCUCCGUAUCAGGUCACGGUCGAUAUCGUCACUCACAUCAAUAUCGUCACUAUCAUCAAUAUCGUCCCUAUCAUCAAUAAGAAAACCCUUAGGCUUGUAUCCAGGAACUGUCAGAAAUACUGUAAUGAAAGGAACAUAGGAGUUUGUCGCUAGGUAUUGACCAAAUAGGACCGUCCAGUUCCUAUAGAACCUAUCACUAAAUACCCCUCGAGGGGGAUAAGGCUAAGCGGAGCGAAAAGGUUUUCCAUGAGAUGGGAAAUGAAAACUAUUCGCCCCACACGAGGUUUGUGAAUAAGUGAUGUCUGAUAAUGAGCAAGGAUAUCCGUCUUUCUGCUAAACAGGGUGUAUUGACUCAUAAUUCAUUAGAUACUUUUUAUGAAUGUCAACUAAGUAUCGUAAGUAAUUGCUCCGGCUCUUCAUCAUUUGAUAACCAGAGUCAUUCUUGAUAAAUGAUCACUAUGGGUCAGACUCAAUAGAAUUUGAUCAAUCCUUUUUUCUGUCGUUAAGGUGGAGAACUGAACCAAGAUUCUCUUUCUUUAUCAUCAUCGAAUCACUGUUCGCGACCAAGGAUUCGAUUUUAUCAUCAAUCCAAUCACCGUUCACGUUUUUCUUUUUCUUAUCAAUGAAUAAUCUCUUUACUUGUAUGACUUAGAUGUCUCGUAUUCUCGAAAAAGUGAUUCGAUUGAUAGGAUUUGGUAUGAUACUUAUGAGAUCGAUGAGAUUGAUAUUAAAAAAUUCUUCUUAGAACGUAUUGAUUUGACCCCGUAAGCGGGACACCACCCCAUAGCAUGUUGCCGCCAGAAGCAGAACCCCGUAUUCUUCUAGCAAAUCUCCUAAUUGUCCAGAGCAACUAGAAAUAGAUCUUUAACCAGAAAGAAUUCAGUUCAGAUGUAGGAUACCUAUCCAGAAGUUUCGCAACUCAAUCAUGUAUGAUGGAAUCAUCAAAGAUUGACCUUUUCGACUCUGUCUGUAACUCACUAUAGGCUCGGAAACAAAGAGAAGAUGUGUACGAACGAGAUAUCCUGCACAAGAAGAAGGAAAGGAUUGAAUAAAGGAACUCCCGAACAUUUGGCGAUCUCAGCCGUGUCGAUAUCAAUGGUGGUUCAUUAUUUCGAUGAAUCAUUCUUCGGACAGAAGAAGAUUAUGUAAACACUACUCGAAAUCUCACUUAUCAGAUUCCAUUGUGUCUUCCACAAAUUUUCUGAAGAUUCGCCAUGAUAUAUCUGAUCCAUGCAUAAUAUCAUGAAAAAUGGAUACAAUUUUUGACUGCUACUUAGUAUCGGUAAUAGGUGGUCUGAAAAGGUAUCUAAAAAUAUCAAUUUAGAUAUUUGUACCCUGUCGAAGUAAGGAACCAUGGCAUAUAUGUUGGAAUAGAUUCCAUUAGAGAGAGUGAGAAAGCACUAUCUCGUGAAAGGUCUAUACAUCUGCCCCUUUUCACGCAUUUCUUUAGACAAAGACUCCGUUUUUUCCUUUUUUCGGAUGGUAAUAUUUCUCAGAACAUGGAGUGUGAAUCAAACCCAUGUUGAAUUGAAUUGAGAUACUGAUGCAAGUUCUUCCCUUCUGAUCAGAUAGAUUAAUAUCCGAAAGAGGUUGACAAUAAGUUCUUUCAAAAUUGAUAUUUGUCCCUCUGUUAGAGGUGUCCAGAAACGUCUGCGAUAGAAUAAAUAGCUCUACGAACGAAUGAUCGGGUCGAAUGGAAAAUGGAAAGAUUUGUACAAGCUUUCGUCACCACUUUGGGAAAAUAUUAGGUAUGAAUAUGUUAGAUACCUGUGACUCGAUUGGUGAAUAGUAUCUCUCUCCAAAAAGCAUGUUUUUUUUACCGCCGCACAAAGAAAUAUUUUGUUGCGAAUGAACAGGAUAUGAGGAAUUGUCCAUACGUAAAAUCAUAAUCUGAUACGGGCCUUUCCACAUAAAAAGGGAUCUUUUGUUACAAUAGAAGCAGAAAUGAUGUAGAUAUUCAAGAAUCGAAGUCGAUUGCUUUAUAAAAAGAAGAUAUCAAUGACUUCUAUGAAAUGGUUCACGGGAUUCAGCCAAUUGUCUUGAUCGUGGGAUAUCAUGAGAAAGAGGAAUCCGUGUUAUCAAAAGAUUCCUGCGAUUAUUUCUAGUAUGGAAUGAGUCAAUCAUCCACUUUGGUAUCUUAUUGAACAAAAUGGUGAUAUGUUCCUCCAUGAUCAAAAAUUUCGAUUUUGGGAAGUAUCAUGAUCAUCCAAUAAAAGGGUUUCCAUUUUUUCAAUGAACGAUUUGAAGACCUAUUGGUUCUAACAGCUGAUGCAGAGUUGAUCAUUCGGACCUUUCACUCAUAGAUAUGGAUCUCGGACCUAUGAAUGGGGAUAUUCCCGAAACUCACAAAGAAAAAAGGAAGUGAG
rnacentral:lncRNA from 1 species